AAUAGCUAAAUGAUGGCAUAUAGCUGUUAGCCAUCUAUGAAACUAUGAGGUUAUUGUAAUGGAAAUUAACUAAGAAAUGACUUACAUUAACUUUGUCAUUAAAUUGCAUGAGAGAACUGAAAUUUUCCAUGCUGACCCAAUCCCCAUUUCUGUAUGGCUUUCUCUUUACUUGGUGGAUUGUCUUCUUGCUUCAUCUUUUCCAUGAUUAUCUGAUACCUGCUCUUAAGGCAGCCCUUCCAGGCUUCCAAAUCAAUAUUUUAUAUUCCCCAUGUGUUCCAGGCCUCUGGGUUAUUUUGAGUCCAUUGCUUCCACUUUGUGCCAUUAUGAAGAGAAAAACUGGAGACACAGUGAAUUCUUUUUUUCCAUCUUAAUAUUUUUAUAUUUUCUGUUUCUAUUGAAAAUUUACCAUCUCAUCAAAUAAAAUGCAAUACAGUUUACAAAGUCGAACCAAACCCAGCAUAUUCACAUAUGGUAAUUCCUUUCUGAAUAUUUCUUCUAUCCUUCAAUUUGUAACAGGGUGUUCUGAUUGAGUCAGUGCUAAGAUUCAUCAAUGCUAUUUGUGUGAGUUUGACAAACUCUCUCUCUUUAGCCCCUAUCCCAGAGGUAAUUUUUUUUCUUUCUCUGUGCUCUGUGCAGGCAAAGACUUCUCAGCUGUCAAAGAAUCGUUGGGGAUGCUAUCAGCCUCUUGAAAGAAAUAUUUCUUUAUGCAAAGAAAUGAUCUGUCAGGGUAGGCUAGACUCAGCAGCAAACCCUAGUAGUGGUUGACCCAUCACAUCAAAAAUGCUAGCAUUACCUGUGUGUGUAGGGAAGGGGAUAAAUGUGAAAGAACUGUAUUUCUAGGUCUCUAGCCCCUCUGCUCCUGUGCUAAAAAAGACUAGGUGAGGAGCGCCAGGAGUGAGUAACAGUGAAGGGAAAUGCUUCUCAAACUUUAGCAGGCAUGAGAAUCACCUGGAGGGCUUGUUAAAACAGAAUUCUGAGAUUCUGAUUUGGUAAGUUUAGAAUAUGGCCAGAGAUUUUGGGUUUUAAUAAGCUCCCAGUUCGUCUGAUGCUGCAGGUCUAUGGACCACACCUUGAGCUGUUCUGCUCUAAAGCAGGGACUCCCAAAUUUCAGUGAGCAUGAGAAUCAACUAGGGUUGUUGAAACGCAGAUUGCUGGGCCUGCCCCUACCAGGCAUUCUGAUUCCAACAAGAUAACUUCACCUGACACUUGGUUUGUAAAAUUUAGAAGAGAGAACAUGCAGUGUUCCAAGUAUGACGGAUUAUGCGCAAGAUAGUCUUCCUUUUGGGGACUCCCAAAAAGGCCUAAGAAGAUAAAAGGCCAAGUAAGGUGCUUUGUUCGCCACCGCGGGUGACUGAGAGGGUGGCUGGAGGACCAACUCGGACCAUACUUAGGCCCUACGAGUAAAGGAAAAGAAGGAAGGCAUUGGGCUGUGAUAUUUUUAAUGAGGAUCGUUACACUUAAAAGACCCCCAAAGAACCCUAUUUUCAGUAUUUUUGAAGUGGAAUACUUACCUCUUUUUACCGAAAUGUCGAGGUUGAAGUGUUUUCAGCAUCUCAGGAGAGUUACUCUCAAAAUAUUUCAAGGUAAAUCUCUUAGUAGUAAUCUAUUCACAUGCAUUUCAGCUAAAUCUCUGAAUGUCCAAAUCCUCCACUGGAAUAAACCUCUGUGACAGGGACACUCUCAGCAGGAGGCUGGGAGUCAACCCGUGGCGGGGAUGCUUGAUCAGAAUCACAUGAUGGGAAACUGCCACACGUGCUAUUGAUAUUCUGAUAUGGCUUCUCAGGUGCGAGUCUCUCUUCCUCCCCAUCUCCCUUCCUUCCCACGCGGAGAAUUCUAGCUGAUUUUAUGGAGGAGAAUGUGUGGGAUGUAGGGGCUGAGAGAAGGUAGUUAAAUACAGGUUUCCCCUGCUGUCUGAAAGUUCACUUUACGCCACUUUGCUUUUACUAGAGACCUACAUUAGUGCCUGUUUUUGCUAAAUGAAAGAAAUUCGAAGAGGAUUUUUGCUUUUACAGAAAAAGGAGAAAAGCGAAAAUAGCGUUCAGCGUUUGUUUUGUAUCAAAGCGUUAUAAGGUUAAGCAGUCAAGCAUACCGUCAUAUUUCAAGCUUUUGCAUCAGCCACAUCAACCACAGCAGAUGAUGAACCUUGACCUUGGACAUGGAGGCAGGCAGACAUAAAAGGUGUAGAUGUCAGUGACCUGCCUGCCCUGAUGGAUUCAGACGACAAUGAGGUGUUGAUAGAUGACUCUCUUCCUCUCUCUCCUACACCCCAUCUCCUGUACCUUCCACCACCCCAACCUCUGAUGGCUGAGCCCAACACCCCAUCACCACCACUGCCACCACUCAGCCUUCCAGUGUGCUCGCUGGCUUCCCGAUUCUGGCCAUGUUGUUUUCCUCUGUGGAAACUUGGGGAGACAGCUAAAUGGUUGAGCACAAAUUGUUCCUCCUCGCUGGAAAUAACUCAAAGUGCAUAUAUGCUUUAUCAAUUGUGAGUAAGUUGGGUCACCUUCCCGUACAUGAAGAGUAUGCAUAUCAUCAUCAAUAGCUUAUAGGAGAAGAUACAAUUACAAUGUGACCCCAUCUGUAAAAAUCCUGAGCAUACAGAGAAGAUGUGCCAACUGUAGCUUAAGUAUGUUUGCUUGAAGUCAAUGAUAAAAAUUCUUUCCCCGAAUUGGGCCUCUUCCUGCUAAGUCAAGAUUUGGAAUUUGGCAACUGGAGAGCUAAUAUUUUGCUUCCUAAAGCAUGUCUAGAAAUGAUUGCUUGAAUCAAGUACAUCACUAUUAAAGUGAUGACAAUCCUGCUCUUUGGUUCAUUACCCUUUUGGGAGGUAAUGAAUUUGAAAAACAUCCCAUUGAACCUCUUUUUAAUGAUCCAAAAUGAAGAAGAUAAAUUUAGAUAAAUACCAAGAAUUAAUCAAUGAAAAGAAGAUAGAGCAAUAUUGAAUACAACUAAUAGGAUUUGCAUUUAAAAAAGAGUUCAGCUGAGUUCCACAAACAUUUAUUGAAUGCAUAUUAUAUUCCAGGUACUGGUGAUGCAAAGAUGAAUAAAACAUUGUUCCUGUUUUCAGUUAAUCUCAGUCAAGAGGUGUAUAUGGGGGAAACUGAUAUAAACAAAUAAUAUACGAUAUAAACAAAUAAUACAUGCAGAAAUAGGAGGUAGAAUGUGGCAGUGGAUAAUGUAUAGACUUUGGAGCUAGACAAGCCUUGAUGAAAAUCCUGCAUCUUGCUUUAAUUUUGUGGAUUUAAGUAAGCUACUCGACUCUUCCUAAAUAACUUUUGUUUUAUCAUCUCUGGAAUAAAACAGACACACUCAACAAAUGGAAGCUAAUAAUAAUAAAAGUUGUGUAUGAGGUAUAGAGGUAAUAUAGCAGAGAGAAUGAUUAUGAGGGGCUGAUCAGGGAAGGCUUCAAAGAGGAGAUUGUGCCUCCAAGGUGUUUUGAUCCAUGGAUAGGCGUUUGCCAGGUAGACAAUGUUUGUGAAAGGACUCCAGGCAGAGGAAGUAGAACUCUCAAAGGCCUAGGAGGUGGGAACCAUAAAGACUAGUGGUUUCAUAUUGCUGUUGCAUUCAUUAUUUGUGGAAGGUAAUUGGAGAUGGGGUGGAGAAGAGGCAGGGCCAGUUCUUCGUCAGAGCCUAUGCUUUGACAAGAAGUUUGGACUUGAUCCUUUAGGCCAGAGAUUGAAGAUGUGCCUCAGGCAGAGGUUGAGAUAUGUAGUAGGGCUGUCCUUGUCUCUCCCCACUGCAGUUGAGGGAGAGGAGGCCAGGAAUUGAGAAGCAGUGACUGGACAUGACACCUUCUGAGUCUAGGUUCAUGGAUUUGUAAUGUUAUUCAGGUUGCUAAGGAGGGAGAUACUUUAAAAAAUAUGCAAAGCAAAAUAAGAACGAACAUUAGGAGAGGGAAUUUGUAGCCGCCCCUGACACAGGAAGGGUUAAUAAUCACUGGAAAAAGCUUGCCAACAAACUGUGACCCAGAGGUGAGAAGGCCGGUUAGCCAAUGACGGGUAAGACCCCCUGGGGGGGCAAUCUAAGACAGGCGGCGGCCGCCCGGGGGGCACAGAUGGAGAAACAAUAUUGAUAUCGGGAGCAGGAGGGACCAUUGCCUAAGAGACCUUGCCUGCUCCGAGAUAAAAAUAUAGGAGCACAGCAAUAACAUGAUAAUAUCAAAACAGAGGCCAAGGGAGGGCUCCUUGAGAAAUCACUAAGAAUUCUUGGCAUUCGCUAAUUACUUCAUCCAGAACACCUGUGUAUGUUUAAGAGCUGUAAGCUAUGUAUAUAUUGAAACGCUGGUUAUGAUAAACUCAGAGUGGCCAUCAGCCCUCUCCGCAUCUAUCCUGAUGUGUACAUUGGAUUGCGACACCGACAAAUAUGAAUCUCAUAUAAAGACUCAGUGACUGUUAUUGGCUGGAGAAUGACCCUUGCAGGAUAAGAUCUCUGAUUUUUUUUAAAGAUACCUCUCAAGAAAACCAGAAAAAUAAAAUUAAGCUGCAAUACAAAGUGGACAGCCACUCCCAAUGCCCUUUCUCUUCUCCUCACCACCGAAAAUUCCCUUUCUCCCCUUAGCCUGGAAUAGAAGUGGAUAGGGGAAAGAAUGACUAUGACUGACUUAUGACUCAAAAUCAGCAACCUUCAACAUACAACUUGGAGACUGAGAAGAUUUCCAAGACCCAAGAAGAGGCCAGAGGCCUGAUAAUUGCUGGGAGAAGGUCCACGAUCCAAAAAGGGAAGAGGAAAAACAAGGAAACACCCCAAGCACAGGGGAUGCAAGAAGAGGGUAGCAUGAGGAAAGGAGAAGAAGGAUUCCAUGGGGAGACACUCUGCCAUUGGGGGGAACAUCCAUGUGAAUACCUUCUAGAAUGGGGAUUAGAUUAAAAUAAGGGAGGUGAAGCCAUUUAAAGUCCACCCUUACCCCACACUACCACUCUCGAUGAUAUGUAUUUUAUUGUCUGAAACCUUAAGUAAAGACUUGUUUGGAUCUUCUUUGGGGUCCUAUGCUUUUGGGUUCACUGGACAGAAAGAAGGGAAAAUACUACCCCCCACCUCAUAAUGGCGGGCACCUAUACCUUUCCUAUGGAAGACUGGGCAGCAAAAGGAGUCACUUGUGGACUUCACAGCCAGAGAAGGAGGCAGAGUGCUUCCCUGAUCAUCUUUUCUCCUUCCCAGAGGAGCACUACACUCUGCUCCCUCCAGGGGAUGAAGCUAAAGUGCCUGGGUUACAGAUAAGGACAUCAUUGGCAGCCUUUACAUGACUGGGGACAGGUGGGUCAAUUACAAGAUUUUUGAAUAGUUUGAAGAAAGAAGAGAGCCUGAACUAAAGCUUGGGAGUAUUGAUAGAAAGGAGAUGGCUUUGUGAUCUCUCACAUCUCUGGGGCUUUUUAUAGUCCUCUUGCUCCACCUGGACGGUAUUGUCCUCACUCCCUUAUCCAUUCAAACUCCAUGCUACCUCACUAUGAAGACUUCCAUAGGAAGAUUCAGAUAUUUCUUCUUAUCUGUGCCCUUUCUACCUUAUAAUAAAUAACAGUGUUAACAAAGAGGUGUUUUGUUGAAACCCUGUCUGCCAGCUCACCAGAAUGGAAGUUUCUUAAAUCUAGGGCAUAGUGUCCUUUGAGAACUGUGAUCACUUAUAUCAACGUGACAUAGUUAUUAGGACUGAAAACAAAGACCACCUGUGUCAACAUGAGUUAGUAUUUUGUUCCAGGAAACAUUUGCCCAAAAUAGAUAAAGCUGUAAACUAUAAAAUAGUUUCACUAUUUGUGUCAGGUAAUUCCCGCAAAUAAAUUUUUUCUGAAACAAUUGUCUGCUCAUCUAGGCAAACAGCUCAGUUAUCAAACAGCAGUUUGCUUAUCAGAACCCUCAUCUUACUAUGACCACCAAUCGUACACUAUUAUGUCAUCAAUCCCAAUCACUUUUCUGCUUUGAAAGACCUUUCUUAAACCACUUGAGCCUACACCCCCAACCUCUGUGAAUACUUUCUCUUCUGUGACAUCGCUGACUCUGUGAAAGUGAUGUUCUCCCUUACUACAGAAAGGGAUGCUAUCUGAUGGUCAUAUUUUGGGAUAUUCAAUAUCUUUCAGUCUUAUCCAGUCUAGACUAGCACAGAGUAGUACUUAAUAAAUAUCUGUUGAAAGAGGCACUUAAAGGAGAGAAUCAAUAUGACACAGUGCUUUGGUUAGGUGGGGGUAGAUGGAGAAAGAGUCAGGGAUGCUUCCAAAGUACUAAGUGUUAACUUGUGCCAUCACUUAAGAUGGCAAAAACACAAGAGCAGAUUUUCAAUGAGAAGAUAGUGAUUUCAAUUCUAGACACUUGAGUUUGAGAUUCCUGGGAUGUGGAACUAGAGAUAUCCAAUUUACCCUCAGUGAUGGAAGGCCCCAGAUAUACGGUUUAUCGGGGAGGUUGGGAACUUGUUUUCUUAAUCAGUGGUUCCCAAAGCAUGGUCUUCAGACCAGCAGCAUCAGCACUACCUGGGAACUUGUUUGGAAGAGCAAAUUUUUGGGCCCCAUGCCAGACCCACUGAGGUGAAAACUCUAAGGGUGGGGUUCAGCUAUCUAUGGUUUAACAAGCCUUCCAGGUGAUCUGAUGCUCCUUAAAGUUUGAGAACAAUUGUCUUAGAGA
ensembl:lncRNA